CGAAGAAGCGAACCUGCGAAGGCAAGCGGAUCUCUUAAAGCCGUUCUCAGUUCGGACUGUAGGCUGCAACUCGCCUACACGAAGCUGGAAUCGCUAGUAAUCGCGGAUCAGCACGCCGCGGUGAAUACGUUCCCGGGCCUUGUACACACCGCCCGUCACACCAUGAGAGUCUGUAACACCCAAAGCCGGUGGGAUAACCUUUAUAGGAGUCAGCCGUCUAAGGUAGGACAGAUGAUUAGGGUGAAGUCGUAACAAGGUAAC
rnacentral:rRNA from 1 species